GGGUUGUGAGGUUAAGCGACUAAGCGUACACGGUGGAUGCCCUGGCAGUCAGAGGCGAUGAAGGACGUGCUAAUCUGCGAUAAGCGUCGGUAAGGUGAUAUGAACCGUUAUAACCGGCGAUUUCCGAAUGGGGAAACCCAGUGUGUUUCGACACACUAUCAUUAACUGAAUCCAUAGGUUAAUGAGGCGAACCGGGGGAACUGAAACAUCUAAGUACCCCGAGGAAAAGAAAUCAACCGAGAUUCCCCCAGUAGCGGCGAGCGAACGGGGAGGAGCCCAGAGCCUGAAUCAGUGUGUGUGUUAGUGGAAGCGUCUGGAAAGGCGCGCGAUACAGGGUGACAGCCCCGUACACAAAAAUGCACAUACUGUGAGCUCGAUGAGUAGGGCGGGACACGUGGUAUCCUGUCUGAAUAUGGGGGGACCAUCCUCCAAGGCUAAAUACUCCUGACUGACCGAUAGUGAACCAGUACCGUGAGGGAAAGGCGAAAAGAACCCCGGCGAGGGGAGUGAAAAAGAACCUGAAACCGUGUACGUACAAGCAGUGGGAGCCUCUUUUAUGGGGUGACUGCGUACCUUUUGUAUAAUGGGUCAGCGACUUAUAUUCUGUAGCAAGGUUAACCGAAUAGGGGAGCCGAAGGGAAACCGAGUCUUAACUGGGCGUUAAGUUGCAGGGUAUAGACCCGAAACCCGGUGAUCUAGCCAUGGGCAGGUUGAAGGUUGGGUAACACUAACUGGAGGACCGAACCGACUAAUGUUGAAAAAUUAGCGGAUGACUUGUGGCUGGGGGUGAAAGGCCAAUCAAACCGGGAGAUAGCUGGUUCUCCCCGAAAGCUAUUUAGGUAGCGCCUCGUGAAUUCAUCUCCGGGGGUAGAGCACUGUUUCGGCAAGGGGGUCAUCCCGACUUACCAACCCGAUGCAAACUGCGAAUACCGGAGAAUGUUAUCACGGGAGACACACGGCGGGUGCUAACGUCCGUCGUGAAGAGGGAAACAACCCAGACCGCCAGCUAAGGUCCCAAAGUCAUGGUUAAGUGGGAAACGAUGUGGGAAGGCCCAGACAGCCAGGAUGUUGGCUUAGAAGCAGCCAUCAUUUAAAGAAAGCGUAAUAGCUCACUGGUCGAGUCGGCCUGCGCGGAAGAUGUAACGGGGCUAAACCAUGCACCGAAGCUGCGGCAGCGACGCUUAUGCGUUGUUGGGUAGGGGAGCGUUCUGUAAGCCUGYGAAGGUGURCUGUGAGGYRUGCUGGAGGUAUCAGAAGUGCGAAUGCUGACAUAAGUAACGAUAAAGCGGGUGAAAAGCCCGCUCGCCGGAAGACCAAGGGUUCCUGUCCAACGUUAAUCGGGGCAGGGUGAGUCGACCCCUAAGGCGAGGCCGAAAGGCGUAGUCGAUGGGAAACAGGUUAAUAUUCCUGUACUUGGUGUUACUGCGAAGGGGGGACGGAGAAGGCUAUGUUGGCCGGGCGACGGUUGUCCCGGUUUAAGCGUGUAGGCUGGUUUUCCAGGCAAAUCCGGAAAAUCAAGGCUGAGGCGUGAUGACGAGGCACUACGGUGCUGAAGCAACAAAUGCCCUGCUUCCAGGAAAAGCCUCUAAGCAUCAGGUAACAUCAAAUCGUACCCCAAACCGACACAGGUGGUCAGGUAGAGAAUACCAAGGCGCUUGAGAGAACUCGGGUGAAGGAACUAGGCAAAAUGGUGCCGUAACUUCGGGAGAAGGCACGCUGAUAUGUAGGUGAAGCGACUUGCUCGUGGAGCUGAAAUCAGUCGAAGAUACCAGCUGGCUGCAACUGUUUAUUAAAAACACAGCACUGUGCAAACACGAAAGUGGACGUAUACGGUGUGACGCCUGCCCGGUGCCGGAAGGUUAAUUGAUGGGGUUAGCGGUAACGCGAAGCUCUUGAUCGAAGCCCCGGUAAACGGCGGCCGUAACUAUAACGGUCCUAAGGUAGCGAAAUUCCUUGUCGGGUAAGUUCCGACCUGCACGAAUGGCGUAAUGAUGGCCAGGCUGUCUCCACCCGAGACUCAGUGAAAUUGAACUCGCUGUGAAGAUGCAGUGUACCCGCGGCAAGACGGAAAGACCCCGUGAACCUUUACUAUAGCUUGACACUGAACAUUGAGCCUUGAUGUGUAGGAUAGGUGGGAGGCUUUGAAGUGUGGACGCCAGUCUGCAUGGAGCCGACCUUGAAAUACCACCCUUUAAUGUUUGAUGUUCUAACGUUGGCCCCUGAUCGGGGUUGCGGACAGUGUCUGGUGGGUAGUUUGACUGGGGCGGUCUCCUCCUAAAGAGUAACGGAGGAGCACGAAGGUUGGCUAAUCCUGGUCGGACAUCAGGAGGUUAGUGCAAUGGCAUAAGCCAGCUUGACUGCGAGCGUGACGGCGCGAGCAGGUGCGAAAGCAGGUCAUAGUGAUCCGGUGGUUCUGAAUGGAAGGGCCAUCGCUCAACGGAUAAAAGGUACUCCGGGGAUAACAGGCUGAUACCGCCCAAGAGUUCAUAUCGACGGCGGUGUUUGGCACCUCGAUGUCGGCUCAUCACAUCCUGGGGCUGAAGUAGGUCCCAAGGGUAUGGCUGUUCGCCAUUUAAAGUGGUACGCGAGCUGGGUUUAGAACGUCGUGAGACAGUUCGGUCCCUAUCUGCCGUGGGCGCUGGAGAACUGAGGGGGGCUGCUCCUAGUACGAGAGGACCGGAGUGGACGCAUCACUGGUGUUCGGGUUGUCAUGCCAAUGGCACUGCCCGGUAGCUAAAUGCGGAAGAGAUAAGUGCUGAAAGCAUCUAAGCACGAAACGAAGGAACGUUGAAGACGACGACGUUGAUAGGCCGGGUGUGUAAGCGCAGCGAUGCGUUGAGCUAACCGGUACUAAUGAACCGUGAGGCUUAACCUUACAACGCCGAAGRUGUU
rnacentral:rRNA from 1 species